rnacentral:sRNA from 1 species
GCUUCUCCAGUGACAGUGAUCUGGUAUCUCUUACUGUUGAUGUGGAUUCUCUUGCUGAGUUAGAUGAUGGAAUGGCUUCCAAUCAAAAUUCUCCCAUUAGAACUUUUGGUCUCAAUCUUUCUUCGGAUUCUUCAGCACUAGGGGCUGUUGCUUCUGACAGUGAACAGAGCAAAACAGAAGAAGAACGGGAAAGUCGUAGCCUCUUUCCUGGCAGUUUAAAACCGAAGCUUGGCAAGAGAGAUUAUUUGGAGAAAGCAGGAGAAUUAAUAAAGCUGGCUUUAAAAAAGGAAGAAGAAGACGACUAUGAAGCUGCUUCUGAUUUUUAUAGGAAGGGAGUUGAUUUACUCCUAGAAGGUGUUCAAGGAGAGUCAAGCCCUACCCGUCGAGAAGCUGUGAAGAGAAGAACAGCUGAGUACCUCAUGCGGGCAGAAAGUAUCUCUAGUCUUUUUGGGAAACCUCAGCUUGAUGAUGUAUCUCAGCCUCCAGGAUCACUAAGUUCAAGGCCCCCUUGGAACCUAAGGAGCCCUGCCGAGGAGCUGAAGGCCUUCAGAGUCCUUGGGGUGAUUGACAAGGUAAUUCUUCAGUGUCUCUUCAAGAGUUCAGUCAUAAAUCGACUGCAUGCUGACAUUCUGUCUUUGAAGCUUUGGAUCUUAAGGAUAUGAAACAAAAGGAGAAAAUGACUCAAAUGCAUCUGCACUUUAAAAUAACAAAAGCAGAAGAGAAAAAGCUUUUAUCUGAGCAAUUCAUGUAAGGUCAUGCAAAAUAUAUUUGAGCUAAAGGAGAA